CCCUUAGAUGUUCUGGGCCGCAUGCGUGCUACACUGAGUGGAUCAGCGGGUCAGGUUGCGCGAAAGUGUUUCCUAAUCUUGAAAUCCGCUCGUGAUGGGGAUUGACGGUUGCAAUUUUCCGUCAUGAACGAGGAAUACCUUGUAAGCGCGGGUCAUCAUCCCGCGCUGAAUACGUCCCUGCCCUUUGUACACACCGCCCGUCGCUCCUACCGAUUGAGUGGUCCGGUGAGGCUUUGGGAUCUGAGCGGAAAGAGCGUUUCGCUGUUUCUGCCCGGAAAACUCAGUCGAACCUUAUCAUUUAGAGGAAGGAGAAGUCGUAACA
rnacentral:rRNA from 1 species